AUACUUGCACAGCCAGUGGUACACAUAAAUGUACAUAUGCUAGCAGGUAUCCAGGAGUUUCAACCCUUUCUUCUCCCGUAAAAUUAGUCAUUACAUAUUACUGAUCGUGAACGUGAAUUUUAUUCUGGACUUCAUCCCUGUGUAUUUCUUGCUAAAUUGCCCAAGUCUCUGGCAGCAUAUAACGUACAAGUGGCAAUCACUAAAUAUUACACUAAAUAUUACAUAGUAUAAAGGGGUAAUUUUCUCAUCCGAAGGGAGCGUUGCUGCAAUUACUUUUGUAUUGUGAUCUAAAGUCAAUCGAUGCCAUAGCCAAUAGUUUUUUUUAAAUCGUGUGUGUGCCUUCGUCAUUUAAUAAGCCGUGCUUACAUAAAUACGGUAAAACAGACAAGUUGGGGUUACUAACUAAAAUGGAAACCGAAGCAUCAUAUCCUGCAUUUUUGGAGUUUGUUAAAGAAAUCAAUUCUAUACUGGAGUCAUUUUCCAAGCUUGGAAAGGGUUAUGCCUCAUCCUUGAAAUCUUGUUCUGCCAUGUCAGCCACUUAAAAAAAAUUUGAUAUAGUGAUGACUAACAAACCUGCGAGUGAGAAAGUCGAGUUGGCCAAAUUUAUCCAUAACGUAUUUCUGCAUCCUUUUCUGCGCCAGACAGAAGUCGCAUUAAAAGUUCAAGAAGGAAACCAAUGUCCAGAUAUACUCCGUUUUCCGUGUUUGAAGGAGAUUUUGAAUUUUCUGCACAAAUAUGAAAAUAAUUCCACCCUAGAACUUUUACGUGACGUGGUGAAAGCGUUUCAUACUUUGACACCGAAUCAAUUUCUUUUUUUGCAAUACUCACGACCAGAACUGCCGGUCGUUCUGUGGGAUGCUAUUCAACAUGUUGGCAAUUUCCCUGGAAAAUUUGAACCUUGUCAAUGCAGCGAAGAAGAUAAUACAACGUACAACUUAACCCUGGGUAUCAAUGAAAUCAAGCAACUCAAACACUCCACAAAUGCCGUCACGUUUGUCGAAUCUGAUGAGUAAUAGUAAUGUAUGUAAUAUUUCAUGUAAAAGUUAUGAUUGAGAUGAUAUGUAUGAAUGUUAGUUUUAGGUUGCCCCUGACAUUUGAGUGUCCCGCACGAGCGCAGUCUUUCGUCAUCUCAUUGUUUUAUUGGCCCUCAUUUUUAGUUCGUUAAAAGUACUCAAGUAAUGUGGACGUGUUUUUGAGAGAAUGUUCACAAUUAAUUAAUCCACAGUAAAUAAAGUAGCAAUUAUUUAAGAGAUUUAUAACAAGUUUUAUGUUAUAUUUAUUUUGCUACUCUGAGUGGAUUUAUGAGCUGACCUCCUACUCGUAGUAAUCAUCC